CGCCUCCUGUUUAAUUAAUUUAGGAGGUACUGCCUGCCCAGUGACACCCGUUUAACGGCCGCGGUAUAAUGACCGUGCAAAGGUAGCAUAAUCACUUGUCUUUUAAAUAGGGACUUGUAUGAAUGGCAAGACGAAAACCCAACUGUCUCCUCAAACUUAUCAGUGAAAUUGAUAUCCCCGUGCAAAAGCGGAGAUAAAUUUAUAAGACGAGAAGACCCUAUGGAGCUUAAAACCUAAAUUAAUAUUUAUGUAGUCUAAUUUAAAGCUUUAGGUUGGGGCGACCACGGGGAACAAUAAACCCCCCGAGAUAUAUAAUUAAGAAAAAUACUUCAAAGUAACACCAUAGUUGAUAUAAUUGACCCAAUAAUUGAUCAACAAACCAAGUUACCCUAGGGAUAACAGCGCAAUCCUCUCAUAGAGUCCAUAUCGACGAGCGGGUUUACGACCUCGAUGUUGGAUCAGGACUACCAAGUGGCGCAGCAGCUACUAAAGGUUUGUUUGUUCAACAAUUAAAAUCCU
rnacentral:rRNA from 1 species